GAUCUGAUUGCGCCAUGUUCCCCUACUCAUUGAUUUCCAGGGUUGAUUCAGUUGAUCUGGCUGGCUAGGUGGGUGUCCCCUUCCU
ensembl:misc_RNA predicted gene, 24545